rnacentral:tRNA from 2 species
CCGGAUAUGGCGCAGUUUGGUAGCGCGCUACCUUGGGGUGGUAGAGGCCGUGGGUUCAAGUCCCGCUAUUCGGAUCA